GGGCGCAUAGCUCAGCGGGAGAGCACUCGGUUUACACCCGAGCGGUCGUAGGUUCGAUCCCUACUGCGCCCACCG
rnacentral:tRNA from 20 species